rnacentral:rRNA from 1 species
CUUCACUUGGAAUAACUAUCGAAAGGUGAGUUAAUACCGAAUAAACUGCCGACCACGGUCGGGUAGUCAAAGAUAGCCUCUGCUGGCAAGCUUUCGCUGAAUGAUGAGUCCGCGUACCAUUAGCUAGUUGGUGGGGUAAAUGGCCUACCAAGGCGACGAUGGUUAGCUGGUCUGAGAGGAUGAUCAGCCACACUGGAACUGAGACACGGUCCAGACUCCUACGGGAGGCAGCAGUGAGGAAUCUUGCGCAAUGGGGGAAACCCUGACGCAGCAACGCCGCGUGAGUGAGGAAGGUCUUCGGAUCGUAAAGCUCUGUCGGGUGGAAAGAAAUGUAUGGGGUUAAUAGCCUUCAUACUUGACGGUACCACCAAAGGAAGCACCGGCUAACUCCGUGCCAGCAGCCGCGGUAAUACGGGGGGUGCAAGCGUUGUUCGGAAUUAUUGGGCGUAAAGAGCGUGUAGGCGGCUUGGUAAGUCAGAUGUGAAAGCCCCGGGCUUAACCCGGGAAGUGCAUUUGAAACUGCCUGGCUAGAGUAGGGGAGAGGGAAGUGGAAUUCCUGGUGUAGAGGUGAAAUUCGUAGAUAUCAGGAGGAACACCGGUGGCGAAGGCGACUUCCUG